rnacentral:rRNA from 1 species
CCUACGGGGGGCUGCAGUGGGGAAUAUUGGACAAUGGGGGCAACCCUGAUCCAGCCAUGCCGCGUGUGUGAAGAAGGCCCUCGGGUUGUAAAGCACUUUCAGUGAGGAAGAACGCCUGGUGGUUAAUACCCAUCAGGAAAGACAUCACUCACAGAAGAAGCACCGGCUAACUCCGUGCCAGCAGCCGCGGUAAUACGGAGGGUGCGAGCGUUAAUCGGAAUUACUGGGCGUAAAGCGCGCGUAGGUGGCUUGAUAAGCCGGUUGUGAAAGCCCCGGGCUCAACCUGGGAACGGCAUCCGGAACUGUCAAGCUAGAGUGCAGGGGAGGAAGGUAGAAUUCCCGGUGUAGCGGUGAAAUGCGUAGAGAUCGGGAGGAAUACCAGUGGCGAAGGCGGCCUUCUGGCCUGACACUGACACUGAGGUGCGAAAGCGUGGGUAGCAAACAGGAUUAGAUACCCGUGUAGUC